AGCUGCGGGCAAAGCACCGAAAGGUCUUGUCCGAGGAAAGUCCGAGCUCCACAGAGCAAAAAUAACGGCUAACGGCCGCCGAGGGCGACCUCAGGGAUAGUGCAACAGAAAAUUACCGCCGAUUUUUCGGUAAGGAUGGAAAGGCGAGGUAAGAGCUCACCGGGGUUAAGGAGACUUAACCGCCGUGUAAACCCUAUUUGGAGCAACACCGUGGUAGGACAUUUAACGCUUGCUCGGCGUGUCCUUAGGAGGUGGCACUGAGCAGAUAUGGCAACAUUCUGCCAAGAUAGAUGGCUGUUCACGACAGAACUCGGCUUACAGAUUUGGUC
rnacentral:RNase_P_RNA from 1 species